CCUACGGGGGGCAGCAGUGGGGAAUAUUGGGCAAUGGGCGCAAGCCUGACCCAGCAACGCCGCGUGAAGGAAGAAGGCUCUCGGGUUGUAAACUUCUUUUCGCAGGGACGAAGAAAGUGACGGUACCUGAGGAAUAAGCCACGGUUAACUACGUGCCAGCAGCCGCGGGAAUACGUAGGUGGCAAGCGUUAUCCGGAUUUACUGGGUGUAAAGGGCGUGUAGGCGGGGACGUAAGUCAGAUGUGAAAACCACGGGCUCAACCUGUGGCCUGCAUUUGAAACUGUGUUUCUUGAGUACUGGGGAGGCAGACGGAAUUCCUAGUGUAGCGGUGAAAUGCGUAGAUAUUAGGAGGAACACCGGUGGCGAAGGCAGCCUGCUGGACUGUGACUGACGUUGAGGCCCGAAGGCGUGGGGAGCAAACAGGAUUAGAUACCCUAGUAGUC
rnacentral:rRNA from 1 species